rnacentral:misc_RNA from 1 species
CUGUUUGUAUGCCCCCCCCCCACACACACACACGAGACCACUCCCCACACGCACAACUAUUCGUGUUAGCGGCGAUGCUGCCGCAGUGACCGCUUCAUCUACUUCUUUUCAUCUUAGUGUGCCGAUCCUUGGCUUACCCACACAGAGCGAGCACUGCCCACUCCCCUGUGAUACCAUGCGUGUGUGUGUGUUUCCUCGUCAUCCGGACUCGUGGCUUCAUCUGUAAGCAGAAAGAAGAAAAGAAGUGACUGCAGCAACAACAACGGCGGCGAUACAUGACGUAGCACGAAGGCGAGGGGGGAGGCACCGCACACGUGUGCCGUGACGCUUUCGCCGCCGCAGCAUUCCGCAUUACCCCGCUCCUCAUUCUCUCUCUGCCUGUGCGAAGCUGUCUUUCCCACGCGCGCCCGCCCAUCUUUUCCGCCAUGGUCGCGCGCUGCCUCUCCUCCGUCGCGCCUCUUUCUGACUUCUGCGGCAUCUCUUGUGCAGAGCGGCACUUUAAGAGGCCGCCGGCACACGGAGUGAGCGCACGCUAGCGAACGGCAGGGAAGGGAAGCGAGGGAGGAGAGGCGAAGACGAGCAAGCAUUAACGGGAAAUGUGAAGACCCGCACAAUGCCGUAAGCGGUGAGCGAUCAUCGGUUGAAGAUGACGGCAACGCACUCCCUUUUGUUUUUCCUCGUGAGCGGAUUUUGUGGGCUUACACGGAAACGUAGCUGUGCGCGCACGUGUGUGCAUGGUGGUCUGAGAUGCGUUCGAUCCAUCUCUCAUGUGGCGUUGUAACACUUAUGUUGGUGUGGCUCGGUUUCCUAAACCGUGGCUUUCCCUCCUGUCCUGCUCUGUGAAGUCGAUGUCGUGCCGGGCUGAUGUGGUAUGAUUACCGCCUUCUUGCAAAGUCGAAAAGGGAGAGCUUCACUUCUUCGUUUAAUGUAUCGAUGUCUCCUCUGACGUUUUGUCCAGGUGCUGCUUCCAACUUUCUGGUUCUGUUCUUCUUAUUCCUUGUGUGAGAGUUGUGCAUCUCCUUCUCACACCGCCGUGUAUCGCACCCCAUCCUCCUCCCCACAAUUCUUUGCUGUCGCCUAUCUGCGUUCUCCCUCCCCCUUCCUCUUCCCGACUGUU